rnacentral:rRNA from 1 species
UACGUAGGGGGCGAGCGUUAUCCGGAAUUAUUGGGCGUAAAGAGCUCGUAGGCGGUUUGUCGCGUCUGCUGUGAAAACUGGAGGCUCAACCUCCAGCCUGCAGUGGGUACGGGCAGACUAGAGUGCGGUAGGGGAGACUGGAAUUCCUGGUGUAGCGGUGAAAUGCGCAGAUAUCAGGAGGAACACCGGUGGCGAAGGCGGGUCUCUGGGCCGUAACUGACGCUGAGGAGCGAAAGCGUGGGGAGCAAACAGG